rnacentral:lncRNA from 1 species
GAAAUGGCUACUAUCAGGAUUUCAAUCAAGGGAACAAAGGAGGUAAUUCUUCUACUGGAAGAGAACAAUCUUCAUCAGGGCAAUACAAAACUCAAAGCUCAAACUCUUGGGACGAUUGGGGCCAAAAAGAUAGUUGGAAGGGAGAACCUGCUAAUAAAGGAUCAACUCCUUAUUCAUCUGGUGGGCAGUCUGGUACUCACAAUCCCAGCUCUUGGGAUGAUUGGGACCACAAAGAUUCUAGGAAGGAAGAACCAGCUAAAUCAUCGGCUCCCCACAAUAAUGAUGUUGGUUGGGCUGGCUGGGAUAAUGCAAAAGAUGAUGGAUUUGAUAACUUUUAUGAAGGUGCAUCUAAUAAGAAAGCUGCUGGACAUAAUGGGAAAUCAGAUGACGCUUGGACAGGG